UACGUAGGGUGCGAGCGUUAAUCGGAAUUACUGGGCGUAAAGCGUGCGCAGGCGGUUUUGUAAGCCAGAUGUGAAAUCCCCGGGCUUAACCUGGGAAUGGCAUUUGGGACUGCAAGGCUGGAGUGUGGCAGAGGAGACUGGAAUUCCUGGUGUAGCAGUGAAAUGCGUAGAUAUCGGGAGGAACACCUGUGGCGAAAGCGGCGCACUGGACCGACAACUGACGCUGAGCGCGAAAGCGUGGGUAGCAAACAGGA
rnacentral:rRNA from 1 species